AACGAACGCUGGCGGCAGGCUUAACACAUGCAAGUCGAACGGGCGCAGCAAUGCGUCAGUGGCAGACGGGUGAGUAACACGUGGGAACCUUCCUAGGGGUACGGAACAACUCAGGGAAACUUGAGCUAAUACCGUAUACGUCCGUGAGGAGAAAGAUUUAUCGCCCUUAGACGGGCCCGCGUCGGAUUAGCUAGUUGGUGGGGUAACGGCCUACCAAGGCGACGAUCCGUAGCUGAUCUUAGAGGAUGAUCAGCCACACUGGGACUGAGACACGGCCCAGACUCCUACGGGAGGCAGCAGUGGGGAAUCUUGGACAAUGGGCGCAAGCCUGAUCCAGCCAUGCCGCGUGAGUGAAGAAGGUCUUCGGAUUGUAAAGCUCUUUUGCCAGGGACGAUAAUGACGGUACCUGGAGAAUAAGCCCCGGCAAACUUCGUGCCAGCCGCCGCAGUAAUAC
rnacentral:rRNA from 1 species